rnacentral:rRNA from 1 species
AUGACGGCCUACAGCAUCGAAGAUAAGGAGCUGUGGACGCGGCACGCCAUAACCGUGGUGUCCCAGGUCACGGUCGCCCUCUAUGUCUUCUGCAUGUCGUGGUCCGGGGAGAAGAGGUUGCUUCAGGCGGCAAUCUUGCUAUUCAUCGUUGGGAUCGUCAGAUCCGUCCAGAAGCCAUGGGCUCUAAAGAAUAGCACUAUCAGUGGCAUGGUCGCCCCUUCCUCUCCAUCCACGCGAAGGGAACAAGGUUUGUUUGCAUUAUUUCCCUUCAUGGCAUUAUAUUGUCCGAUAGAGGAAGACGAGAAGAAGAAGCCGAAGAGAAGGACAUUCCGCUUGAAGAAUUUGUACAAAGAGCAAGAAGAAUCCAACCUCGGUUGGUUAUUUGCGGUGCUCUACACAAAUUUGAGUACGUUACUCAGUUUCCUUGGCAUAUGUUUGCACCUCUUGCUCCCAUUUCUGACCUUAGCUGCCGUCAUCCAAUUCUCCACAAGCCACAAAUAUCAUGACUACAAUGCAGCAGAUGUCAAGCAUCAUCUGGGCCACGCCAAACUGCUGGGGUGGAGCUUGAAGAUGGCGUUCGAUAGAAGCGUCCUUCUCUGGCACAUCGCCACGGACCUCUGCUUUCACCACCAAAGCACAACCCCUCGCGGCCAAGUGCGUGCCGCUAAAAGCAGAGUUAUAUCCAACCACAUGUCUUACCUGCUCUGCAUCCGUCCUGAGAUGCUGAUGCUUGGGACCAGGAAGGGUAUCUUCGGUAUUGCCUGUGAAGAUAUCGAGCUCACGAUGGGUGGUGAGUUAGAACCGGACGUAAGAGGACUUGCACAAGGAAUUCUUCACAGGUCGCAACAACCUCCCUCCUCACACGCUAGCAACAUAGGAGCUUUGGUCCCCAAUGCAUGUAGGCUUGCUGAAGCAUUGAUGGAGCUGCAGGAUGAAGAGAAGAGGUGGGAGGUGGUCCAGGGGGUAUGGGUAGAGAUGUUAUGCUACUCUGCCAGUAGGUGCAGGGGGUACUUGCACGGCAAGAACAUGAAUGAAGGUCCGGAGCUGCUCUCUCAAGUCUGGAUCCUCUUGUCAUUCAUGGGGAUGGAGACAUCUGCCGACAGGUAUCAAAAGUCGGAGCCUCCCGAAACCAAGGAAGAAGAAGAGUGCUUUUGUGGUUUAUUUCGUGUGGUUUAUGCAAUCCCGGUGUUUUUCCCGGUACGCGUCGUCAGGCCAGAGUUGGGCCACUUUUCCCCGCCGGCUUCCACGACAAGCGUAAAAAACCGUGGACAACAACAAGCGUCCUCCCCUCCAACCAUUUGCUCGCAUUUGUGCCCGACGGCGUGCGCGUCCAUGCCUUCUAGCGCCAGGCAUCAACACCCUAUGGGGCGACCCUUCACCGCUGGCCGUUGA